rnacentral:rRNA from 1 species
AUUGAACGCUGGCGGCAGGCCUAACACAUGCAAGUCGAGCGAGCGGCGGAAGGGUGAGUAAUGUCUGGGAAACUGCCUGAUGGAGGGGGAUAACUACUGGAAACGGUAGCUAAUACCGCAUACCCUCAGAUGUGCCCAGAUGGGAUUAGCUAGUAGGUGGGGUAACGGCGCACCUAGGAGACGAUCCCUAGCGUGUCUGAGAGGAUGACCAGCAACACUGGACUUGAGACACGGUCCAGACUCCUACGGGGGGCAGCAGUGGGGAAUAUGUGACAAUGGGCGCAAGCCUGAUGCAGCCAGGCCGCGUGUGUGAAGAAGGCCUUCGGGUUGUAAAGCACUUUCAGCGGGGAGGCGUUACCCGCAUAAGAAGCACCGGCUAACUCCGUGCCAGCAGCCGCGGUAAUUC